rnacentral:rRNA from 1 species
CCUACGGGUGGCUGCAGUCGAGAAUCUUCGGCAAUGGGCGCAAGCCUGACCGAGCGACGCCGCGUGUGGGACGAAGGUCUUCGGGUUGUAAACCACUGUCAGAGGCAAGGAAAUGUUAGGGGGUUCUCCCCCUAGCUUGACCGACCCUCAGAGGAAGCACAGGCUAAGUUCGUGCCAGCAGCCGCGGUAACACGAACUGUGCAAACGUUAUUCGGAAUCACUGGGCUUAAAGAGUGCGUAGGCGGUCUAGUAGGUGGGGUGUGAAAGCCCCCGGCUCAACCGGGGAAUUGCGCCCCAAACCACUAGACUUGAGGGAGAUAGAGGUGAGCGGAACUGAUGGUGGAGCGGUGAAAUGCAUUGAUAUCAUCAGGAACACCGGUGGCGAAGGCGGCUCACUGGAUCUCUUCUGACGCUGAGGCACGAAAGCUAGGGGAGCGAAC